rnacentral:lncRNA from 1 species
AAGAUUCGCCAUUGUUAGUUCGUAGGAGGUGCACCAUGGCUUGCCACAAUGUCACAAUGGGUCCUUGGAGAGCCGCUGGUGUUGACUUGCUGCCUGUCUCCUCUCUGCGGUAAAACUCCACUUACCAAGUUCCAGAGGGAGAGGAUCACCAGCCACCAGUGGCCAUACUAAAGGAAGUGGCUCUAUGUAGGGAUGGAACAUGGCAACUACACCAGCUGGGACACACCUAGCCAACUGAAAGUCAAGCCAAUAGACACACUGCACCACCAAGCAAGCCAAGACAAGCCACAAUGCAACACAAGCCUUCUACAACGCCUACAGCCAUCAGCAACACCCAGAGUACAAGACAACACCUGGAGUCAUGAAGAACAGUUAGGAUGGAUAAGCAGUUUGGAAUGUUAUUUUUUUAAGGACAUUUUAA